ensembl:snRNA U6 U6 spliceosomal RNA
GUGCUUGCUUCAGCAGCACAUAAACUAAAAUUGGAGUCACACAGAGAUUAGCAUGGUCCCCGUGCAAGGAGGACACGCAAAUUCGUGAAAUGUUCUAAAAUUUU